UGCUCGAGUGGCGAACGGGUGAGUAACACGUGAGUAACCUGCCCUUGACUUUGGGAUAACUUCAGGAAACUGGGGCUAAUACCGGAUAGGAGCUCCUGCUGCAUGGUGGGGGUUGGAAAGUUUCGGCGGUUGGGGAUGGACUCGCGGCUUAUCAGCUUAUUGGUGGGGUAGUGGCUUACCAAGGCUUUGACGGGUAGCCGGCCUGAGAGGGUGACCGGCCACAUUGGGACUGAGAUACGGCCCAG
rnacentral:rRNA from 1 species